GGCUCCAUAGUGUGGUGGUUAGCACGUCUGCUUUACAUGCAGAAGGUGCCCUGAACAAUACAGGGGUGGCUCCA
rnacentral:tRNA from 1 species